rnacentral:rRNA from 1 species
GACGAACGCUGGCGGCGUGCUUAAUGCAUGCAAGUCGAACGAGAUCUCCCCUCAGGGCAACCUUAGGGGAUGUAUCUAGUGGCGAACGGGUGAGUAACACGUGAAGAACCUGCCCCGAAAACUGGGAUAGCCCAGGGAAACUUGGAUUAAUACCGGAUACCCUCGAUUGAUCGCAUGGUCGAUCGAGGAAAUGGUCCGCCGUUUCGGGAGGGCUUCGCGGCCUAUCAGCUUGUUGGUGAGGUAACGGCUCACCAAGGCAACGACGGGUAGCUGGUCUGAGAGGACGACCAGUCACACUGGGACUGAGACACGGCCCAGACUCCUACGGGAGGCAGCAGCAGGGAAUAUUGCGCAAUGGGCGAAAGCCUGACGCAGCGACGCCGCGUGAGGGAUGAAUGCCUUCGGGUUGUAAACCUCUUUCAGUGGAGAAGAAGCGAAAGUGACGGUAUCCACAGAAGAAGCCCCGGCCAACUACAUG